CCUACGGGCGGCAGCAGUGGGGAAUAAUGCACAAUGGGCGCAAGCCUGAUGCAGCCGUGCCGCGUGUAUGAAGAAGGCCUUCGGGUUGUAAAGUACUUUCAGCGGGGAGGAAGGCGAUAAGGUUAAUAACCUCGUCGAUUGACGUUACCCGCAGAAGAAGCACCGGCUAACUCCGUGCCAGCAGCCGCGGUAAUACGGAGGGUGCAAGCGUUAACCGGAAUUACUGGGCGUAAAGCGCACGCAGGCGGUCUGUCAAGUCGGAUGUGAAAUCCCCGGGCUCAACCUGGGAACUGCAUUCGAAACUGGCAGGCUAGAGUCUUGUAGAGGGGGGUAGAAUUCCAGGUGUAGCGGUGAAAUGCGUAGAGAUCUGGAGGAAUACCGGUGGCGAAGGCGGCCCCCUGGACAAAGACUGACGCUCAGGUGCGAAAGCGUGGGGAGCAAACAGGAUUAGAUACCCCAGUAGUC
rnacentral:rRNA from 1 species